GGGUGGUCUCGAAUUCUGUAGUGGGUUAACAGAACUUAUUAACAUUAGUGUCAUAGAAGUUGGUAUACAACCGCCCACUGCUAAAUUUGACUGGCCAGAA
ensembl:misc_RNA Y_RNA Y RNA